rnacentral:rRNA from 1 species
UACGUAGGGGGCAAGCGUUGUUCGGAAUUACUGGGCGUAAAGCGCGCGUAGGCGGUUUGAAAAGUCAGAUGUGAAAGCCCCGGGCUCAACUUGGGAACUGCAUUUGAUACUGUCAGACUAGAGUACAGAAGAGGUGACUGGAAUUCCCAGUGUAGCGGUGAAAUGCGUAGAUAUCGAGAGGAACACCUGCGGCGAAGGCGGGUUGCUGGGCCGACACUGACGCUGAUGCGCGAAAGCCAGGGGAGCGAACGGG